CAGCAGCCGCGGUAACACAGAGGGUGCAAGCGUUAAUCGGAAUUACUGGGCGUAAAGCGCGCGUAGGUGGUUUGUUAAGUUGGAUGUGAAAGCCCCGGGCUCAACCUGGGAACUGCAUCCAAAACUGGCAAGCUAGAGUACGGUAGAGGGUGGUGGAAUUUCCUGUGUAGCGGUGAAAUGCGUAGAUAUAGGAAGGAACACCAGUGGCGAAGGCGACCACCUGGACUGAUACUGACACUGAGGUGCGAAAGCGUGGGGAGCAAACAGGAUUAGAUACCCGCGUAGUCCCUGUCUCUUAUAC
rnacentral:rRNA from 1 species